rnacentral:lncRNA from 1 species
UCGGAUGAAAUGGAGAUGGACGACUUCUGCAACAACAUGGAUCAUUCUUGAGAUUGAGUUUCUGUAGGCUGAAGUUUUAGGUUUCCUGUGUUUCCUCUUUUUGUUUUUCUUUAUUUGGACGAGUUCCUUCUCGAGCCUCGGGCCACUUGUUUGCGUACUUGUACUUUCAAUGUUUUUUCCUUUUUCUUUUUUAAUAAAACUUCAAUUUAAUAA